GAGAUUCCAGAAAGACCUCACAGCCAGCAAGUUGGAGAGCUGCUUUUUGAUGCUAGACAGUUGGCCUCUGGCCUGUAAUCUUAAUACCCCAGACCAUCUUUCCAUGUGGCCCUCAUAGGCCCUAGAACAGUUGCUCAGGGGAAUCCCGGAGCAAGAGAUGAGCACAGGUGGGAGAUUCUUCGCAGACUGUCUGCAGCUCACGCUAAGGUGCGAGGAAGUGGCUGGAGUGGAGGAAGGAGGUUGAGCUGCUCUCAGAUGUGGCCUACUUUGGCCUCACCACACUUGCAGGUAGAAGCUCCCACGGGACCUCAGGACUGAGGGCAGCCACACACACCAAGUCUGGGGACGGUGGCCAGGGGGCUGCCAGGCAGUGUGAGAAGCUCCUGGAGCUGGCCCGGGCUACCAGACCCUGGGGGAGGAGUACGUCAGCAUCAUCCAGGUGGACCCAUCGCGGAUACAUGUGCCCUCCUCGCUGCGCCGUGGCGUGCUGGUGACACUGCAUGCCGUCCUGCCCUACCUGCUGGACAAGGCCCUGCUCCCCCUGGAGCAGGAGCUGCAGGCUGACCCCGACAGUGGGCGACCCUUGCAGGGGAGCCUGGGGCCAGGUGGGCGUGGCUGCUCAGGGGCGCGGCGCUGGAUGCGUCACCACACGG
rnacentral:lncRNA from 10 species